AGUCGAACGAUGAACCUGGAGCUUGCUCUAGGGAAUUAGUGGCGAACGGGUGAGUAACACGUGAGUAACCUGCCCUUGACUCUGGGAUAACCUCCGGAAACGGAAGCUAAUACCGGAUAUGACGCACGGAGGCAUCUCCUGUGCGUGGAAAGAAUUUCGGUCAAGGAUGGACUCGCGGCCUAUCAGGUAGUUGGUGAGGUAACGGCUCACCAAGCCUACGACGGGUAGCCGGCCUGAGAGGGUGACCGGCCACACUGGGACUGAGACACGGCCCAGACUCCUACGGGAGGCAGCAGUGGGGAAUAUUGCACAAUGGGCGCAAGCCUGAUGCAGCAACGCCGCGUGAGGGAUGACGGCCUUCGGGUUGUAAACCUCUUUUAGUAGGGAAGAAGCGAAAGUGACGGUACCUGCAGAAAAAGCACCGGCUAACUACGUGCCAGCAGCCGCGGUAAUACGUAGGGUGCGAGCGUUGUCCGGAAUUAUUGGGCGUAAAGAGCUCGUAGGCGGUCCGUCGCGUCUGCUGUGAAAACCCGAGGCUCAACCUCGGGCCUGCAGUGGGUACGGGCAGACUAGAGUGCGGUAGGGGAGAAUGGAAUUCCUGGUGUAGCGGUGGAAUGCGCAGAUAUCAGGAGGAACACCGAUGGCGAAGGCAGUUCUCUGGGCCGUAACUGACGCUGAGGAGCGAAAGCGUGGGGAGCGAACAGGAUUAGAUACCCUGGUAGUCCACGCCGUAAACGUUGGGCGCUAGAUGUGGGGACCAUUCCACGGUUUCCGUGUCGCAGCUAACGCAUUAAGCGCCCCGCCUGGGGAGUACGGCCGCAAGGCUAAAACUCAAAGGAAUUGACGGGG
rnacentral:rRNA from 1 species